rnacentral:lncRNA from 1 species
CCUUUUAUGCCUUACUAGAACUAUCUUCAGAUAGGCACCGCUACGAGGCUGUGUGCAUAAAUGCCUCUCUGCAUUUGGAAAUGCUUGCUCUUGAAUGUUUGAUAGGUGUGUCCAACAUCAACUAAAUUUAUAUCCAGAGUAUAGGACACAUUUCAAACAGUGUAUAUCAGGGCUGGAAUAGUGUUGGGUCGCCCCGGUCUGUGUCGUUCAAAGCCAAACGGGAGGAAUAACCGGCCUCUGAAAUAUAUAAGUCAGAGUGGGAAAAUAGCAUGUAAUUAACAUCUGCUCUGUCAAACGUAGACGUAACUCCAAAACUAAGCUCUGUAACAGUGGUAUUCAAAUUCGGACCUCAAAGACAGUUCCACUCCAUUUGUUCAUUGCAACCCUCAACCCUCUAAUCAGGAUCUGAUUUAGACCUGGGACACCAGGUGUGUGCAAUUAAUGAUUAGGUGGACCAGAAAAUCAGCAGGCUCCGGAUCUUGAAGGGAAGCAGUUUAAUUCCCCUGGCAACUAUUACCUGACAACUCUGCCAUGUUACAAGUGUGAAGCAUCCAAGGGCACGCUGUUUCACAGCUUCACCUUAAGCCCUAAAACAGCCUCUUGUCUGGAGGUUUUGGGACCCUCCCCAGGGUGUUCAGAGACCCAGCUGAUGACCUGAAACCGCCCUCUGCCCAGAACCUUGACUGUCCUGUUUUAAAGCUUGAUGUUUCUAUCACCGAGACCAUCUCUUCUCACCCUGACUCACCAGAGCAUCAGUGUGGAAUUACAAGGCAGCCACCAAUCAAUCACACCGUGUCAAAAGCUGAAUGCAUUUUCUUCUAAGACAAACAGUCUCAGGGAUUCCUGGCUUAAGUCCCCCCAGUUAUCCCUCAUAAGCUUCUGGAGAUGAGGUGGAUAAUCGGCACGUACAGACCACCAAAAACAACUUAAGGCCACCGACAUUUAGAAGAAAUGGAUCAUGCAUGAGGUGUAAAUAUUGCGUAAAUAUUUAUUCAUCCAAUCUGUAAGCAGAUCUUUCUUGGUAAUGGGAUAAACAUGAUUGUGAGUCGUGUAGUUUUACAAUGUAACUUAGUUUGCCAACUUGACAACUAUUGUUGCAUCUAGUCAACCUGGCACUCUGCCCCCCAACCUGGCAAUUUGACCUUGGUUAUCUAACUUUUUCACAGACUGCCGUUUUGAUGGCCAUGAUGCAACGGUAUGCCAGAUUAAAACAUUCUACACCGUGCAUGUGGGCAUGGACUUUCUUUAUAGAAUUUCUAAAGUUGUGUGUUGAUGACAGCAAGGUUUCUGUAAGACUGGAUUCUAAAAGUGGGAAACCUUUAUUUUCCAUUUCUGCUAGAAAAAAAGCUGCAAAAGAUGACUGAGAAUUGAUUUAGGGUAAAAUUCCCAUUUGAUUAUGAUUGAUUUCUAAAGCUGUGCUUCUUAAUGUUUCUGUAAAAUCAGAUUCUAAAAUGGUGGAAAACAAAAAUGUUACUUUGCUCCUUGGUCUAGGAAAAAGCUGUAUAAGCUGUUUUAACUGUAGGAGAGUAUAUAUGGCUUUCUGAGUAUCUGUUCUGUUACACAUUCUGUAAACACAAACCCUAAUAAAGUUGUUGAACCAUUCAAUUCUUGUAUUUGUGGCCAGCACUUGAACUGAAAAAAGACACGAACACCCC